rnacentral:precursor_RNA from 1 species
UCCAACGAUAAGAAAACAAUAGACACCCAUCGUGUCUUUUGCUCUGCAGUCAGUAAAUAUUUUUUUGUGAAUGUGUAGCAAAAGACAGAAUGGUGGUCCAUUGAAUCCCCAGGAUGAAGAC